GGGAAAUUUCAUCAGAACAAAGCACAGAAAAAUUUAUCAAAACUCACGUUUUAAUAAAAAAUAUAGAAUUAAUAUUUUAAAAAAGUAUCUAAAUAGAUUUACUACACAUUUUAAAAGCGAUGAAAUGUUUAUAGAGGUUAUAAAUACGUUAAUAACUGAACCUGGUCCAAUUUGUAUUGAAAUUGGAAAAAUUGUACCUCAUGAGAAUUUUUUAUUCACAUGGAAUUAUCCAUGUGUUAUUAUUAUUUGGUCAGAAUUAAAACAAACCGUACAAAUAGUAGGCCUUGGCUAUUAUGUUGGCUGUGGUUAUAUACUUACAGCAUCUAAUGUUUUAGAAAUUCUUGAUGAUGGUAGAAUAUGUGCUUUUUUCACAACACAUCAAAAUUAUCUGGUUUAUUCGGCUCAAGAAAUUAUUCAAAAGGAUGGUUUGGCUGAGAUUAAACUGAAGGGUUCCCUUGAACCUCUAGAAUUCAUAAAUAGAAAAAACAUUACAAAUGAAUUUGACUUUUAUGAUGUUGUUUAUUUUUAUUCCCUGUAUUCUGGUGAUUUUAAAGUAAUUACCUGCAAAAUUUUGCCACGCACAUUGGACAGUGAUGACUUGCUAGAAAAUGAAUUUCUGCUUUCUGAAGCAGGGUUUGAAAUAGACAUUGGAGGCCCUGUUAUAUUUAAAACUAAACAUAAUUGUCAGAUAAUUGGGAUAUACAGGGGGAACUACACACAUCAAUCAAAAACUUAUGGGCGGUUUGGGAUAGUGCCUGAUUUAAUUUUUUAUUAAAAAACAAUAUAUAUUAUAAUUUAUUUAUGAAUAUGAUAUUUUAUCUUUCAACAAAAACAUUAUAACUUAUUCUUAAAAAAACUAUUAUUUUAUUACUAUUAAUAACCUGACAGCCACACACCAUCAAAAUUAGGCUGAAUUAAUAUAAUUAAUUUAUUAAUAGAAUAAUAUUUUAUCUUUCAACAAAAAAUAUACUUUAUUCUUAAAAAAAACUAUUAUUUUAUUACUAUUAAUAACCUGACAGCCACACACCAUCAAAAUUAGGCUGAAUUAAUAGAAUUAAUUUAUUAAUAGAAUGAUAUUUUAUCUUUCAACUAAAAAUAUAUUUUAUUCUUAAAAUAACUAUUAUUUUAAUACUAUUAAUAACCUGAAAGCCACACACCUUCAAAAUUAGGCCGAUUGGAGGCAUGCAAAUUUUGCAGUUCUGCUAGCAAGUUUGCGUGAAAUUUCCCAUUUUCUGCAGCAUUCCAAAGAGAGACCUCCUGCCUUACCAUCUUGUGCAAACAGGCCAUCUGGAGGACUAGGACUUUUUCCCGUAAGUUUCUGCUGUGGGCCGGCCAUGGAACAAGUGCGAUCUGCCAAUGGCAAAACUCCCUAUCAGAAUUGGUGAUGGGAUUUUUCUCCAGCAGAAAGAUUGCAGGGUCAAUUUUAAGUCCUAGUCCACCCCUGGAUCUGAAGGUUUCACUUUGGGAUGCAUCUUCAACAGAAACAAAUUCAAGCUUCUCACACUUCUUUCAGAGACAACAACUUCAACAACAGUGGACACUGUUCAACGAGUCAAGCCUAAGCCUGCAAGUCUAGUGAGCCGUCUCACUUUUGGUCCGUCUUCAUACAAUAUCAAAUUCUGAUUUCUUUCAGUAAAAAGCAAAUAACAAAUUCUGGACUGUUGUGGGUCACUACUGCAUGUCUUCCAUGUCAUCUACGAGACAAUACAGUUGAACAUGAAGCAAAUAAAUCCACAAACAUGCUCUACUGUACUUGAUACUUCUGAUGUCUUCUUGCUCUGGUUCACUUGUUGUCUUUUAAAUAUAUAACUUAUAUUGUCAGGUAUCACUUUGUUUAUUUUUAUUAUUUGAACCUGCCUGACAAAAUAAAUACAUUUCUUUAACUGUU